GCUUAGAAAGUAAAUUAUAGAAUAGCGCGGGAAAAUAAAUAUCGGGAUUAAAGGAAAGGGCAGAAGAAGAAGAAAAGUGAAAGAGUUUAGGCAAAAUGGAAAUGGAAACGGAAACGGAGAUCAAUCUGAGUGUGAAAGAAGAAGAAGGGUUGAAGAUUGAGGAUGUGAGCGGUAAGGUCCAUCAACUCCCUUGCUCCGUCAAGUACAAUGGGCCUUCCUCCGUUUCCCAAUAUUUCAAACCAAAGCCCACACCCACCACCGGGAUUCAAGAGUCCUUUUUCCGAGGAAGAAACUUGCUCGGAACUACUCUUCCAAUUCCACAUCCCUAUUCUGGCUUUGUCAUAGGAAAGAAGAGUUUUGUCAAGAGAAAAGCUUCUGAUAUGUCUGAAGAGAAAAACUCAAGCUGCUGGGAGGUGAAGGCAAAAUUUCAAAAUCUAACAUAUUGGAAUCAUGACACCCUCCCUUCACAUGAUGAUGCUUUUUCCCGUUCUUUUCACUGGCUCUCUGUUGCCGAAGCGGUAAAUUUCUGCUUCAUCACUGUUGUUCAGAAACACAAAACUUGCUGCACAAGCCAGUGACUGCUGAAGAUUUGGUUUCUGCAUCUAUGGCUCUCAAGAAAAUGGAUUGAACGAUAAUUGCAGGGAGUGUUUUGUCAUCUUCAGCCACUGUUUGUGUAAUACUUAUUCUAAAGCAGUUUCUUCUAUUGAAAUUAAGAUUCAGGUUAUCAAUCUUGGGAUAGUCCUCAUAGUCUGGUUUCCACUUUCCAGCAAGUUUAUUGGUGAUGCCUCUACCUCCAAACAUAUUGAGAAAAAAUGUCAGGGUUGGCUCCUGCAUAAUUAUUAUUGUUGUUUGAAGUUCUUUCAUACUUAAACUUGAUUUGGGGGAUUGAGACAUGAGGGGAAGACAUCAUAUUUUGUGUUGGGUGGUUGAACCUUGUAAAGACUUGGAUGUAUAUACUUUAUCAGUGACACUUGAUUCGGGGUCAAGUGCUUGAACCUUGGAAAGAGUUGAUGUGUAUGCAUAUUAGUAUGCUUCUCAUAAGUGGAAAGCAUCUUUGUUUGCUUGAGAACUGAACGUAAAUGUUCAAUUUCCUCUUC